UGUUUAUGAAUGAUUAGAAUAGUCCACUUUCUGCUGCGUGUGCGUGACGUAGUAUUUUCGCUCAGCUCAUUCAUAAAUCUGAGGCUGGCGAUAAACAAAGGGGAGUCCGUGUGAGAAUAACGCAGUAGUAUAAGGUUACGCUUGUUUAUAUUCACAGGUCUCAAUUAAUGAUACGUUGACCACGAGUUCAACAAUUAUUACAGGGAUACGAUAGACAACAUAAAAAAAUGUUUCAUUAUCGCUGAAACUGUUAAAAAAACAUUUAAAUAUAACAAUAAUAUUCUCUAAAAAAUGUAGUCUUGCUGUUUUGAAAUAAGGUUUGGAAUUUUGUUUUCUAAAUAACUUAAUUCAAAACAAAAGUUUAAUUAUAGUGUUUUUUACUUGUUAGUCGCAUAUUUAGCGCAUUAUAAUGUGUGCUAUAAUAGGCAAACCAUACAUUAGUAAAAUUCAAUCUGCCUUCGCACAUAGAAGGAAUGGGUCAAUUAGGUGCUGCGUUUCCUUUGCUUACUUCAGUUAGAGGUCAAUUAUUUAAGUAAUAGCAAUCACAAGGCUCCGACUUCAAAGGAAUUGCGGAGCUUUCUUACAUAAAAAAAGUCGUAGUCGCAUGGUAUUUGCGUUUUGCGUCCUAUUUGGUCACGUGGUUCUUUUUCCCGGUAGUUUUGGCAUUCAUGAUAUAUGAGGCUAUUAAUAGAUGCGCCUGUCGAUAAACAAAGGAAAGUUUACGGGUUAUAACAACGCAAUAGGUUACGCUCUCGCAUACAACUCAAUGACGUAGUACAGGUCGUGAAAUGAGAGAUUCGGGAAAAAGUUGACGCUUAUUUAUAUCAAAGACCCAUAUUAUAUAUAGGUCUUUGUUUAUAUUCUCAAUUUAUAAAACGUUGAACAUAAGUUCAACAAUAACUUCAGCGAUACGAUAGACAAAAAAAAGUUUCAUAAUUGCUAAACCCGAAUAUAACAAUUUAUAAUAAUAAUACGAAUGCAAUAGCAGAAGGUUAGUAGAAGGUUAAGCUUGUUUAUAUUCACAGUUCUCAAUACAUAGACAGUUGGAUAUGAGUUCAUGAAUUACUACAGGCAUACUAUAGGCAACCUCGAAAAUGCUUUUUAAUCGCUAAAACCGAAAACAACCUAAUAUAUUAUAUUAAAUAUAUUUAUAACAAUAAAUGUCUUUUAAAAAUGUAGUCGGCGUAUACGCUGACUUUGAAAUAAAGUUAGCAAUUUACUUUUCUAAAUAAUUAAAUACAAUUAAACAAAAGUUUAACUAU